CAGUAGCCGCGGGAAUACGAAGGGUGCAAGCGUUACUCGGAAUUACUGGGCGUAAAACGUGCGUAGGUGGUGGUUUAAGUCCGUUGUGAAAGCCCUGGGCUCAACCUGGGAAUUGCAGUGGAUACUGGGUCACUAGAGUGUGGUAGAGGAUAGUGGAAUUUCCGGUGUAGCAGUGAAAUGCGUAGAGAUCGGAAGGAACAUCUGUGGCGAAGGCGACUAUCUGGGCCAACACUGACACUGAGGCACGAAAGCGUGGGGAGCAAACAGGAUUAGAUACCCCAGUAGUCCCUGUCUCUUAACC
rnacentral:rRNA from 1 species